rnacentral:rRNA from 1 species
CCUACGGGAGGCUGCAGUGAGGAAUAUUGGUCAAUGGGCGCGAGCCUGAACCAGCCAAGUAGCGUGAAGGAUGACUGCCCUACGGGUUGUAAACUUCUUUUAUAAAGGAAUAAAGUGAGGCACGUGUGCCUUUUUUUAUGUACUUUAUGAAUAAGGAUCGGCUAACUCCGUGCCAUCAGCCGCGGUAAUACGGAGGAUCCGAGCGUUAUCCGGAGUUAUUGGGUUUACAGGGUUCGUUGAUGGGUUGUUACGUCAGUUGUGAAAGUUUGCGGCUCACCCGUAAAAUUGCAAUUGAUACUGGCAGUCUUGAGUACAGUCGAGGUAGGCGGAAUACGUGGUGUAGCGGUGAAAGGCUUGGUGAUCACGCAGAACCCAGAUUGCGAAGGCAGCUUACUAAACUGCCACUGACAUUGAUGCUCGAAAGUGUGGGUAUCAAAAAGGAUGAGAUACCCCGGUAGUC